GAGUUUGAUCCUGGCUCAGGCACGAACGCUGGCGGCGUGCCUAAUACAUGCAAGUCGAGCGCGGGAAGCGAGUGGAUCCCUUCGGGGUGAAGCUCGUGGAACGAGCGGCGGACGGGUGAGUAACACGUGGGCAACCUGCCUGUAAGAUCGGAAUAACCCCGGGAAACCGGGGCUAAUGCCGGGUAAUACUUUCUUUCGCAUGAAGGAAAGUUGAAAGAUGGCUUCUUGCUAUCACUUACAGAUGGGCCCGCGGCGCAUUAGCUAGUUGGUGAGGUAACGGCUCACCAAGGCGACGAUGCGUAGCCGACCUGAGAGGGUGAUCGGCCACACUGGGACUGAGACACGGCCCAGACUCCUACGGGAGGCAGCAGUAGGGAAUCUUCCGCAAUGGACGAAAGUCUGACGGAGCAACGCCGCGUGAACGAUGAAGGUCUUCGGAUCGUAAAGUUCUGUUGUUAGGGAAGAACAAGUACCGUGCGAAUAGAGCGGUACCUUGACGGUACCUAACGAGGAAGCCCCGGCUAACUACGUGCCAGCAGCCGCGGUAAUACGUAGGGGGCAAGCGUUGUCCGGAAUUAUUGGGCGUAAAGCGCGCGCAGGCGGUUCCUU
rnacentral:rRNA from 1 species